CAAAACCGAUUUUCGAAUCAGCUGUCAUUACACCUGUCCAAAAAACACAGCAAUUUAAUUUAAUUAAUGUACUGGCUUUAACAAAUUUUUAAUUAAAAAUAAUAUGACUUGAGCCGUGAUAUUAGUUUUGACGAUAAAAGACAGACCAGCGAAAAAAUAAAGCCCAAAAUUUUAAGGGUUAGGAACAAUCUCCUGAAGUUGCCAGAGACGAUAUUCAUAGACCAAUAUCGUCUUAACUAAGAAGUCUCUGUAAUAGUGCUGGAUGCCGGUGAAGAUAAGUUAGAUAGGCUGUCUCCAUGCCACCUGUGCGCCAACUUGCAGCGACACUGCGGAUAUUGACAGAAGGCUUCUAUUAACAAUCUGUGGGAAAUAACAAAAAUGCUAAAGGCUUUUGAACGUUUGAAUUGUGCACUCUGGAUAACUUUAGGAAUGAAUUGGAAUAAAAUCUAUUGUUCAUGA